rnacentral:rRNA from 1 species
CCCUUAGAUGUUCUGGGCCGCACGCGUGCUACACUGAGUGGAUCAGCGGGUCAGGUUGCGCGAAAGCGUUUCCUAAUCUUUAAAUCCGCUCGUGAUGGGGAUUGACGGUUGCAAUUUUCUGUCAUGAACGAGGAAUACCUUGUAAGCGCGGGUCAUCAUCCCGCGCUGAAUACGUCCCUGCCCUUUGUACACACCGCCCGUCGCUCCUACCGAUGAGCGUUUUGGCGAAGACGGUUUGAGUAGCUGCGUAAUUUCGUGUUGUUGACUCCGGCAGUUUGAGCCUUCACGUUUAGAGGAAGGAGAAGUCGUAACA